GGCAACAAAAUGGCUGACGAGAGGUGUCACAAUAAAUUAGAUAGACACAAUUUUUGGAGUGGGGAUUUCCCUCGGCCAUAGUCUUGAAGACUGUCUUGUUCGAGUGGCUGCGUAUCCAAGGUCUGGAGUAAGUGGUGACAAAGGGGAGGAGUUC